GCGCCUUUAGCUCAGCUGGUAGAGCAACUGACUCUUAAUCAGUGGGUCGCAGGUUCGAUCCCUGCAAGGCGCA
rnacentral:tRNA from 1 species